UGGCGAACGGGUGAGUAACACUGGGCAACCUGCCCAAAAGAGGGGGAUAACACUUGGAAACAGGUGCUAAUACCGCAUAACCAUAGUUACCGCAUGGUAACUAUGUAAAAGGUGGCUAUGCUACCGCUUUUGGAUGGGCCCGCGGCGCAUUAGCUAGUUGGUGGGGUAAAGGCUUACCAAGGCAAUGAUGCGUAGCCGAACUGAGAGGUUGAUCGGCCACAUUGGGACUGAGACACGGCCCAAACUCCUACGGAAGGCAGCAG
rnacentral:rRNA from 1 species